AAUAGAUACCCGGGUAGUCCACGCCGUAAACGAUGAGUGCUAAGUGUUAGAGGGUUUCCGCCCUUUAGUGCUGCAGCUAACGCAUUAAGCACUCCGCCUGGGGAGUACGGUCGCAAGACUGAAACUCAAAGGAAUUGACGGGGGCCCGCACAAGCGGUGGAGCAUGUGGUUUAAUUCGAAGCAACGCGAAGAACCUUACCAGGUCUUGACAUCCUCUGACAACUCUAGAGAUAGAGCGUUCCCCUUCGGGGGACAGAGUGACAGGUGGUGCAUGGUUGUCGUCAGCUCGUGUCGUGAGAUGUUGGGUUAAGUCCCGCAACGAGCGCAACCCUUGAUCUUAGUUGCCAGCAUUCAGUUGGGCACUCUAAGGUGACUGCCGGUGACAAACCGGAGGAAGGUGGGGAUGACGUCAAAUCAUCAUGCCCCUUAUGACCUGGGCUACACACGUGCUACAAUGGAUGGUACAAAGGGCUGCAAGACCGCGAGGUCAAGCCAAUCCCAUAAAACCAUUCUCAAUUCGGAUUGU
rnacentral:rRNA from 1 species